UGGAACACGACCAUAUGGGGUUAAAUUUAAGUCACGUAUUCAUAUUUUUCUACUUAAUUUUUUUGGUCCUAUGUGCUUGGUUUUUCAUCAUUCCAUCUUUCCUAAAUCUGCUUAGAGUGUCCAACCCAUGCUGAACAGGAUUUAGGUCGAGUAAUGGCGAAGUGCAAAAAGAGUGGUUUGAAAGGAACUUUGAGGAAAGUGCAGAAGCGAAAAGUACUUCAAGCAUGUCUGAAUUCCAAACGAUUGACCAUCCAUAAAAUGACUUGUGAGGCCUUGACACCGAAUUAUUUUUAUGGUUAAAUGUUUUGUUCAGACAACGUAGAACUCAUACAUUGAUCCAAACUAUUUCGAUUCAGGAUGAGAAAUAUCACUGUACUACUGGAAUUCGAAAUAGCUUUAUAUCGAUUACUGUAAAUUUUCCUCUCAAAAUGGAUGUAUUAUAAAAUUCCUAAGAAAUUUUAUGACAUAUGUUUUAGUAGGAUUACUUGCAUUAUUAUGUGCAUUUCUUUGCAAUGGGUUUAAUAAAAACUGAAAACAUCUCUUUAUAA